CUGGCGGCGUGCUAACACAUGCAAGUCGAACGCGAAAGGGACUUACGGUCCUGAGUAAAGUGGCGCACGGGUGAGUAACGCGUAGAUAACCUGUCUUCAUGUCUGGAAUAAUACGCCGAAAGGGGUACUAAUACCGGAUAUCUUGCUUUUCAUAAGUUAUGCAAGCAAAGGUGGCCUCUGCAUAUGCUACUGCAUGAAGAGGGGUCUGCGUACCAUUAGCUAGUAGGUGGGGUAAUGGCCUACCUAGGCGACGAUGGUUAGCGGGUCUGAGAGGAUGAUCCGCCACACUGGCACUGGAACACGGGCCAGACUCCUACGGGAGGCAGCAGUGAGGAAUAUUGCGCAAUGGGGGAAACCCUGACGCAGCGACGCCGCGUGAGUGAGGAAAGGCCUUCGGGUCGUAAAGCUCUGUCAAGAGGAAAGAAGUGUACAAUGGCUAAUACCUGUUGUAUUUGACGGUACCUCUAAAGGAAGCACCGGCUAACUCCGUGCCAGCAGCUGC
rnacentral:rRNA from 1 species